rnacentral:rRNA from 1 species
GCCCUUAGAGUUUGAUCCUGGCUCAGAUUGAACGCUGGCGGCAGGCCUAACACAUGCAAGUCGAGCGGCAGCACGGGGAGCUUGCUCCCUGGUGGCGAGCGGCGGACGGGUGAGUAAUGCAUAGGAAUCUGCCCGGUAGUGGGGGAUAACCUGGGGAAACUCAGGCUAAUACCGCAUACGCCCCAUGGGGGAAAGCGGGGGACCUUCGGGCCUCGCGCUAUCGGAUGAGCCUAUGUCGGAUUAGCUGGUUGGUGAGGUAACGGCUCACCAAGGCGACGAUCCGUAGCUGGUCUGAGAGGAUGAUCAGCCACACUGGGACUGAGACACGGCCCAGACUCCUACGGGAGGCAGCAGUGGGGAAUAUUGGACAAUGGGGGCAACCCUGAUCCAGCCAUGCCGCGUGUGUGAAGAAGGCCUUCGGGUUGUAAAGCACUUUCAGCGAGGAAGAAGGCUUUCGGGCGAAUACCCCGGAAGAAGGACAUCACUYGSAAGAAGAAGCCACCGGCUAACUCCGUGCCAGCAGCCGGCGGUUAAUACGGAAGGGUGCGAAGCGUUAAUCGGAAUUACUGGGCGUAAAGCGCGCGUAGGCGGCUCGAUAAGCCGGUUGUGAAAGCCCCGGGCUCAACCUGGGAAUGGCAUCCGGAACUGUGGGGCUAGAGUGCAGGAGAGGAAGGUAGAAUUCCCGGUGUAGCGGUGAAAUGCGUAGAGAUCGGGAGGAAUACCAGUGGCGAAGGCGGCCUUCUGGCCUGACACUGACGCUGAGGUGCGAAAGCGUGGGUAGCAAACAGGAUUAGAUACCCUGGUAGUCCACGCCGUAAACGAUGUCGACUAGCCGUUGGGUUCUUCGAGAACUUAGUGGCGCAGUUAACGCGAUAAGUCGACCGCCUGGGGGAGUACGGCCGCAAGGUUAAAACUCAAAUGAAUUGACCGGGGGCCCGCCACAAGCCGGUGGGAGCAUGUGGUUUAAUUCGAUGCAACGCCGAAGAACCUUACCUACCCUUGACAUCGAGAGAACUUGGCAGAGAAUGCCUUGGGUGCCUUCUGGGAGCUCUCUCAGACAAGGUGCUGCAUGGCUGUCGUCAGCUCGUGUUGUGAAAUGUUGGGUUAAGUCCCGUAACGAGCGCAACCCUUGUCCCUAUUUGCCAGCGAUUCGGUCGGGAACUCUAGGGAGACUGCCGGUGACAAACCGGAGGAAGGUGGGGACGACGUCAAGUCAUCAUGGCCCUUACGGGUAGGGCUACACACGUGCUACAAUGGCAGGUACAAAGGGUUGCGAGACGGCGACGUGGAGCCAAUCCCAGAAAGCCUGCCUCAGUCCGGAUCGGAGUCUGCAACUCGACUCCGUGAAGUCGGAAUCGCUAGUAAUCGUGAAUCAGAAUGUCACGGUGAAUACGUUCCCGGGCCUUGUACACACCGCCCGUCACACCAUGGGAGUGGACUGCACCAGAAGUGGUUAGCUUAACCUUCGGGGGAGCGAUCACCACGGUGUGGUUCAUGACUGGGGUGAAGUCGUAACAAGGUAGCCGUAGGGGAACCUGCGGCUGGAUCACCUCCUAAGGGC